CCCUCAAUCGGAUGGUAAGACGAUAUGCUUCUCUGUUGAUCCUUCGUUCUUCUCUUUCGAUCUUUCUUGUCUUCGUUUCUAGAAUCUUCGAUCAUGUUGUGAUCCGUCAUGUUUCUUAGAAGAUGAUGGAAUGGGAGUUCUAAAGCCGAUCGAAAUCCUUUGGAAGAGCCAAAAGAAGGGCGAAGUAGGAUCUCUUCCACUUUCCUCUUCAACCAGAUUGUAAGUCUACAUGAUUCUCUACUGAUCCUUUGUCGUUCUCUAUCGAUCUUUCUUGAAUGCUUUUCCAGAGUUGCCGACGAUGUUGAGAUCUAUCGUGUUUCUUAUUCGUUUGUUCGCUUGAAAUUUUGUGGUAUCAUCUUCUUCUAGCGUUUUUGAUGGUUUUGAGAUCUGUGAUCUUUUUUGGUCAUCUGUUUUCUUGGAUAUUUCUCGCAUUCUCUUGAUCUAGAUCUAGGGAUCUCGAGGGUUUUGAGAUCUGUCAUUGUCUUCUUGUUCGUUUGUUUUGUUGGAUCCGACUGGAGGCUUCAGGCUCGUGACGAGCCCCGUCCCGAACUCGAGGCAUCCGACCCUCGCUGUGAUGAUGCUCUGACGAGCUCUUCUUCGCUGUAUACUUCUCUAUGGAGAGGGACAGGAAGGUGGGGCACUGGUGGCAUGGAAAGGGAGGAAUUAUCUCGUUUCCAGUAAGAACUCGUCACUUAUUAAUUUUGCAUGAGUUUCUGUCACUGGAGGGAACAUUGGAGGCCGCUGCAUUUCAAAUGAGUUUUCACUGGGACCAUUUUAUGGUAAGUAAAGAAAUUUUCGUUGAGCCGAAGGAAAAUGAAGCGAGAAUGCAUUCGGAGAUUUUACAUGUAUUCUGCAAGACCUUGCUGAGAUACCCGUUAAACGGAGAUGAAAUUUUCUUAGUGUUAAAAUUAUCUACAGUGGUUGUAGCAUUAGCCAGAGAAUGAAUGCGAUUUCUAAUUUAC